AUUGAACGCUGGCGGCAGGCCUAACACAUGCAAGUCGAGCGGAUGAGGAGAGCUUGCUUUUCGAUUCAGCGGCGGACGGGUGAGUAAUGCCUAGGAAUCUGCCUGUUAGUGGGGGAUAACUCGGGGAAACUCGGGCUAAUACCGCAUACGUCCUACGGGAGAAAGUGGGGGAUCUUCGGACCUCACGCUAACAGCUGAGCCUAGGUCGGAUUAGCUAGUAGGUGAGGUAAUGGCUCACCUAGGCGACGAUCCGUAACUGGUCUGAGAGGAUGAUCAGUCACACUGGAACUGAGACGCGGUCCAGACUCCUACGGGAGGCAGCAGUGGGGAAUAUUGGACAAUGGGCGAAAGCCUGAUCCAGCCAUGCCGCGUGUGUGAAGAAGGUCUUCGGAUUGUAAAGCACUUUAAGUUGGGAGGAAGGGUAUUCACCUAAUACGUGGGUACUUUGACGUUACCAACAGAAUAAGCACCGGCUAACUCUGUGCCAGCCGCCGCGGUAACAC
rnacentral:rRNA from 1 species